GCCAGACUCCUACGGGAGGCAGCGGUGGGGGAUAUUGCACAAUGGGGGGAACCCUGAUGCAGCGACGCCGCGUGGGUGAAGGAGCGUUUCGGCGCGUAAAGCCCUAUCGGCAGGGAAGAAGGAGGACGGUACCUGACUAAGAAGCCCCGGCUAACUACGUGCCAGCAGCCGCGGUAAUACGUAGGGGGCAAGCGUUAUCCGGAUUUACUGGGUGUAAAGGGGGCGCAGACGGCAGCGCAAGCCAGGAGUGAAAGCCCGGGGCCCAACCCCGGGACUGCUCUUGGAACUGCGCGGCUGGAGUGCAGGAGGGGCAGGCGGAAUUCCUGGUGUAGCGGUGAAAUGCGUAGAUAUCAGGAGGAACACCGGCGGCGAAGGCGGCCUGCUGGACCGUGACUGACGUUGAGGCUCGAGAGCGUGGGGAGCAAACAGGAUUAGAUACCCCGGUAAG
rnacentral:rRNA from 1 species